rnacentral:rRNA from 1 species
ACGCUCGACACCUAUGGGAGGCAGCAGUGGGGAAUAUUGCACAAUGGGGGAAACCCUGAUGCAGCGACGCCGCGUGAGCGAAGAAGUAUUUCGGUAUGUAAAGCUCUAUCAGCAGGGAAGAAACUGACGGUACCUGACUAAGAAGCACCGGCUAAAUACGUGUCAGCAGCCGCGGUAAUCUGAGCGGGCUGGCAAGGC